UUUAACAAAAUUUUAGGACAGAAAAUCAAAAUUAUCAGUUCUGAAAAUUUGUCGUGAUUCAAAUGGUUUAGUUUCUAAAUAAAAAAUACAAGUAUAUUAUCUAUCUAAUCAAACUGAAUAUAGCAUUGACUCACAAUAAUAAUAUUAAAAAUGAUUCUAUUAUUAAAGUUACAAAAGAAGAAGUCUCUUUUACAAGAAAAUGAUUGGCGGAUACAGUUCAAAGAGAUUGUUAUUCUAUUUAAUAAAUUAAUUGUUAACUUUUAUAACAAUUGUUUUAAGCAAAAUGCAACUUUCGAGCCUGGGUGGCAUAUUUUGUUGAAAGGGAAUCAUUUGACAAAUAGCGGUAUGCACUGAUUCCUCAUUUGGAUUAUGAAACUACUGUGGUCGGAACCUAGAGAUGGAGUGUGGCUCAAUAUGAUCGCUUAUUUUGCAGAAAGAAAAUUUUAAUAACACAACAAUAACACAAGUAACAAUUUUAUUUAUUAUUCAAAUUAAUCAAUAAAAUUGCUGACAUGACGGUUCGAAAAGUGAAAUUUGCUAUAUCUGUUCUACUCUACUAUAUCUGUUUCACAUGAUCAAUUGGUGGACACGUUCUGGACCAUGCAUUGCAAUUUUGAUAGUUCAUCAUCUAUAAAUGUUAUGUCAGUAAGGAAUGGCACUUAUAUCGCUUUUACACGAUCAAUCGCUGGAAUGGCUUUUAUACCGGUUUUACGUGAUCAUUUGCUGAGCGCUUUCCUGAACAUAUAUUGCCAUCUUAACUGUACAUCGUAACACAUUUUAGUGACUGUAGAGAGUAUGGAAUUCCUCUGAAGUAAGAUUUACUCUUCUGAUCUGUAUACAUUUUCAACCUUCUCAAGUGUAAGAUUAAUCAGUUUUCAGUAUAUAAUGCAAGUCCCAACAAAAUGUUUGCUAUUACAUAUUGUGGAACAUAACAUUAUAUACCAGGAACAAAUAUCUCAUCCACUUGCUUUAGUGAUAACUCGGAAACUUUACUUAAAACGCAUUUUGUAGCUGAUUUUACUCCGAGUUCAAGAUUACGGGUUCAAGAUCACAUAGUAUUAAGUUACAUUUAUGUAGACAGAACCAUAAUUCAAAUUGACGUGCCUAUUGAGUGGAAUUUACUACUAAUUAGUUUUUAAAACCAACUAGUUUUAUAUUACAAGCAAUUCAAUAGUAUUCAACGCCUUGUCAUUAUACAAGACUUCGUUAAAUGUAAGUAUAUUUUUGCACAUAGAAGUCAAUCUUAUUAUUAUAUCGUCGACAUUCCAUUGAUAAUAAGAACAAAACAAAUAUUGAAUUAUAUGUAAAU